ACCGUUUCCGCCAUUAGCUUCGCCUCACCAUGUCUAACAUCCUCGCCCCGACCCCAGCCCUGACUUCCAGAAUUGCCACCACAGCCACUGAGCACAGCAGAGGAAGCUCAUGCAAGGGAAAUGUGUCAGAGAGUGGCUGCACACUGUCUGGCCAGAGAACGCCAUGCUUUGUCCAGAAGAUCAGCCCUGAGCUAAUAUCUGCUGCCAAUCCUCCUCUUUUUGCUGAGGAAGGCUGACCCUGAGCUCACAUCCAUGCCCAUCUUCCUCUACUUUAUAUGUGGGACGCCUAACACAGCAUGGCUUGCCAAACGGUGCCGUGUCCGCACCUGGGAUCUGAACUGGGGAACCCUGGGCUGCCGAAGCAGAAUGGGUACACUUAACCACUGCGCCACUGGGCUGGCCCCACACUGAGGGAUUUUUUGAGGAAGAUUAGCCCUGAGCUAACAUCUGCUGCCAAUCCUCCUCUUUUUGCUGAGGAAGAUUGGCCCUGAGCUCACAUUUGUGCCCAUCUUCCUCCAUUUUAUAUGUGGGACACCUGCCACAGCAUGGCUUGAUAAGCAGUGAGUAGGUCCACGCCCACGAUCUGAACCGGUGAACCCCAGGCCAUUGAAGCUGAGCACGAGAACUUAACUGCUAGGACCCUGGGCCAACCCCUCUGUUACAGUGUUGAUCCUUAAUGAAAAUCUUGCUCCUUAAACUCUGUGUUAGAAUCAGCUCCUGGUGGAUCCAACUCCAACAGCAGAGGAACAGGAAGACUUUGUGUCAUGUGUGAUAAUAUCAUGAGGUUUCUCCUCAGAUGUGAAGGAGGUGAGGGUCCCUGUAGCCUAAUAGGGAUGGACUACAAGUCCAGUGAGCGAGAGAGCAACUUUGGAGUCUUCACUGAAGGAUCUGCAGGAAUGUGAUGACGACCAGGCAGAGGGUCCAUACUGAUAGUCAUCAUCAAUGACAACUGUCUGCAUCAAUGACAUGGCAACUUCCUCUCCAGAGUCAUGGUGGCAAGACACAAAUGACUCUAUUUCAUUUGAUGGUCCCCCUAUACUGACCCAAUCAGCAGGAAGUAGUCAGA
rnacentral:lncRNA from 1 species